CGACUAUACGGCAUGGUGUCGCGCUGUGGUAUCCGCUGUGAACUUGUCAGCAUCAACAAGGUCCUAGAAGAUAAUUUGACAUAAAUUCGCAGAAAAAUUAAAGCCAUCCGUAUUAAACAAUCAUAAUGCUUUAGAGAUAUUGGACGGAAUUUCAUAAAUCACAGGCUUAUACUUAUCAUAUUUAUCUCUUCGACGG